rnacentral:tRNA from 1 species
GGUGUUGUGGCUCAGUGGUAGGGCGCUUGCCUAGCAUGUGUGAGGCAAUGCGUUCAAUUCUCAGCACCA